rnacentral:rRNA from 1 species
GUGGGGAAUAUUGGGCAAUGGGCGCAAGCCUGACCCAGCAACGCCGCGUGAAGGAAGAAGGCUUUCGGGUUGUAAACUUCUUUGACCAGGGACGAAAAAAAUGCCGGUACCUGGAAAACAAGCCACGGCUAACUACGUGCCAGCAGCCGCGGUAAUACGUAGGUGGCAAGCGUUAUCCGGAUUUACUGGGUGUAAAGGGCGUGUAGGCGGGACAGCAAGUCAGAUGUGAAAACUAUGGGCUCAACCCAUAGCCUGCAUUUGAAACUGUUUUUCUUGAGUACUGGAGAGGCAGAUGGAAUUCCUAGUGUAGCGGUGAAAUGCGUAGAUAUUAGGAGGAACACCAGUGGCGAAGGCGAUCUGCUGGACAGCAACUGACGCUGAGGCGCGAAAGCGUGGGGAGCAAACAGGAUUAGAUACCCUUGUAGUCC